CCUACGGGUGGCAGCAGUGAGGAAUAUUGGUCAAUGGCCGAGAGGCUGAACCAGCCAAGUCGCGUGAGGGAAGAAUGUCCUAUGGAUUGUAAACCUCUUUUGUAAGGGAGCAAAGUCACCCACGUGUGGGUGUUGGAGAGUACCUGAAGAAAAAGCAUCGGCUAACUCCGUGCCAGCAGCCGCGGUAAUACGGAGGAUGCGAGCGUUAUCCGGAUUUAUUGGGUUUAAAGGGUGCGUAGGCGGGUUAUCAAGUCAGCGGUAAAAUCGUGGAGCUAAACUUCAUCCAGCCGUUGAAACUGAUGCUCUUGAGUAGGCGAGAGGUAUGCGGAAUGCGUGGUGUAGCGGUGAAAUGCAUAGAUAUCACGCGGAACUCCAGUUGCGAAGGCGACAUACCGGAGCCCAACUGACGCUGAAGCACGAAAGCGUGGGUAUCGAACAGGAUUAGAUACCCCAGUAGUC
rnacentral:rRNA from 1 species